GUGCGUAAUAGCUCACUAGUCGAGUGACCCUGCGCCGAAAAUGUACCGGGGCUAAAACAAUUUACCGAAGCUGUGGAUACCUUUAUAGGUAUGGUAGGAGAGCGUUCUAUGUGUGAAGAAGGUGUACCGUGAGGAGUGCUGGAACGCAUAGAAGUGAGAAUGCCGGUAUGAGUAGCGAAAGACAGGUGAGAAUCCUGUCCACCGUAAGACUAAGGUUUCCAGGGGAAGGCUCGUCCGCCCUGGGUUAGUCGGGACCUAAGGAGAGACCGAAAGGUGUAUCCGAUGGACAACAGGUUGAUAUUCCUGUACUAGAGUAUGUAGUGAUGGAGGGACGCAGUAGGCUAACUAAAGCAGACGAUUGGAAGUGUCUGUCUAAGCAGUGAGGUGUGAAUUGAGUUAAAUGCUUAGUUCUAUAACAUUGAGCUGUGAUGGGGAGCGAAGUUUAGUAGCGAAGUUAGUGACGUCACACUGCCAAGAAAAGCUUCUAGCGUUUAAACAUACUCUACCCGUACCGCAAACCGACACAGGUAGUCGAGGCGAGUAGCCUCAGGUGAGCGAGAGAACUCUCGUUAAGGAACUCGGCAAAAUGACCCCGUAACUUCGGGAGAAGGGGUGCUGACUUUUGGUCAGCCGCAGUGAAUAGGCCCAAGCAACUGUUUAUCAAAAACACAGCUCUCUGCUAAAUCGUAAGAUGAUGUAUAGGGGGUGACGCCUGCCCGGUGCUGGAAGGUUAAGAGGAGUGCUUAGCGUAAGCGAAGGUAUGAAUUGAAGCCCCAGUAAACGGCGGCCGUAACUAUAACGGUCCUAAGGUAGCGAAAUUCCUUGUCGGGUAAGUUCC
rnacentral:rRNA from 1 species